AUUGUAGUCAUAUGCUUGUCUCAAAGAUUAAGCCAUGCAUGUCUAUGCAUAAGCCAAUCAAUGGUGAAGCCGCGAAUGGCUCAUUACAACAGCUUUCAUUUCUUGGGUGUCUCUCUACUUGGAUAACUCUGUCAACCCAGAGCUAAUACAUGCACAAAAGCUCUGCCUUAUGGCAGGGCGCAUUUAUUUGAUCAAAACCAAUCAGGCUUUGCCUGGUUAUUGAUGACUCUGAGUAAACAGUGGAUCGCACAGUCCUAGUACUGGCGACAAACUCUUCAAGUGUCUGCCUUAUCAACUUUCGAUGGUAGUUUAAGUGCCUACCAUGGUUACAACGGGUAACGGGGAAUAAU
rnacentral:rRNA from 1 species